rnacentral:tRNA from 1 species
GUACAGCUCAGUGGUAGAGUGCCUGCCUAGCAUGCACAGGGCUCUGGGUUCAAAUUCUAGCAAUACA